UGUCCGCGGGGGAGCGGGGCGUCGUCGGCAUUGCCAGUGCUGAGGCGGCGCCGGAGUUCGAUUGUCCAGCCGCCAU
rnacentral:tRNA from 1 species